rnacentral:rRNA from 2 species
CUCGACAACGGAUAUCUCGGCUCUCGCAUCGAUGAAGAACGUAGUGAAAUGCGAUACUUGGUGUGAAUUGCAGAAUCCCGUGAACCAUCGAGUUUUUGAACGCAAGUUGCGCCCGAAGCCUUCUGGCCAAGGGCACGUCUGCCUGGGCGUCACG